GGGCAUAUGGUGUAGCUGGUUAUCACGCCCGCUUAGCACCGCGCUGACAUGCGGGCGGUCUCCGGUUCGAGUCCGGAUUUGUCCA
rnacentral:tRNA from 1 species